rnacentral:rRNA from 1 species
GAUGAACGCUGACAGAAUGCUUAACACAUGCAAGUCAACUGUGGCGGACGGGUGAGUAACGCGUAAAGAACUUGCCUCACAGUUAGGGACAACAUUUGGAAACGAAUGCUAAUACCUGAUACUGUGAGAGAGCUUUGCGUCCCAUUAGCUAGUUGGAGAGGUAACGGCUCACCAAGGCGAUGAUGGGUAGCCGGCCUGAGAGGGUGAGCGGCCACAAGGGGCCUGAGACACGGCCCUUACUCCUACGGGAAGCAGCAGUUGGGAAUAUUGGACAAUGGGCCAAAGUCUGAUCCAGCAAUUCUGUGUGCAAGAUGAAUUUUUCGGAAUGUAAAGUGCUUUCAGUUGGGAAGCGGUACCAACAGAAGAAGUGACGGCUAAAUACGUGCCAGCAGCCGCGGUAAUAC